CGAACGCUGGCGGCGUGCCUAAUACAUGCAAGUAGAACGCUGAAGAGAGGAGCUUGCUCUUCUUGGAUGAGUUGCGAACGGGUGAGUAACGCGUAGGUAACCUGCCUUGUAGCGGGGGAUAACUAUUGGAAACGAUAGCUAAUACCGCAUAACAAUGGAUGACACAUGUCAUUUAUUUGAAAGGAGCAAUUGCUCCACUACAAGAUGGACCUGCGUUGUAUUAGCUAGUAGGUGAGGUAAUGGCUCACCUAGGCGACGAUACAUAGCCGACCUGAGAGGGUGAUCGGCCACACUGGGACUGAGACACGGCCCAGACUCCUACGGGAGGCAGCAGUAGGGAAUCUUCGGCAAUGGGGGCAACCCUGACCGAGCAACGCCGCGUGAGUGAAGAAGGUUUUCGGAUCGUAAAGCUCUGUUGUAAGUCAAGAACGGGUGUGAGAGUGGAAAGUUCACACUGUGACGGUAGCUUACCAGAAAGGGACGGCUAACUACGUGCCAGCAGCCGCGGUAAUACGUAGGUCCCGAGCGUUGUCCGGAUUUAUUGGGCGUAAAGCGAGCGCAGGCGGUUUGAUAAGUCUGAAGUUAAAGGCUGUGGCUCAACCAUAGUUCGCUUUGGAAACUGUCAAACUUGAGUGCAGAAGGGGAGAGUGGAAUUCCAUGUGUAGCGGUGAAAUGCGUAGAUAUAUGGAGGAACACCGGUGGCGAAAGCGGCUCUCUGGUCUGU
rnacentral:rRNA from 1 species